GUGCUGGUCUUGGCAGCAUACAUACUAAGUUGGAACAAUGCACAGAAAAUUAGCAUGGCUCCUGUGGAAUGACGGCAUGCAAAUCCAUGAAAAUAUAUAUAUAUAU
ensembl:snRNA U6 U6 spliceosomal RNA